GCCCGUAUGGCUUAGGGGUAAAGCGUGUCACUCGUACCUCGUAAUGACAAGAUCAGGUGUUCGAAUCACCUUAUGGGCA